GAUGAACGCUGGCGGCGUGCUUAACACAUGCAAGUCGAACGGAAAGGCCCUUGUUUGCAGGUGCACGCGAGUGGCGAACGGGUGAGUAACACGUGGGUGAUCUGCCCUGCACUGGGAUAUGCGCCUGAGAAACUGGAUCUUAUACCGGAUAGGACGGUGGUCGGGAUGGUAGUGGGGAGAGUUUUUUCGGUGUGGGAUGAGCUCGCGGCCUAUCAGCUUGUUGGUGGGGUAAUGGCCUACCAAGGCGUCGACGGGUAGCCGGCCUGAGAGGGUGUGCGGCAACAUUAGGACGGAGCUGAGGCGACGCCUACUACGGGAGGCAGCGGUGGGGAGUAUUCAACGGGAGGAGGCGGCAGGCUGCGGCGACGCCGCGGGGUGGAUGACGGCCUGCGGGUAGUCUCCUACUUUCGCUGGCGACGAAGCGGUAGUGACGGUACCUGGAGAAGAAGCACCGGCUAACUACGUG
rnacentral:rRNA from 1 species